rnacentral:rRNA from 1 species
AUUGAACGCUGGCGGCAGGCCUAACACAUGCAAGUCGAACGAGUGGCGGACGGGUGAGUAAUGUCUGGGAAACUGCCCGAUGGAGGGGGAUCACUACUGGAAAAGGUGGCUAAUACCGCAUACCAUCGGAUGUGCCCAGAUGGGCGUAGCUAGGGGGUGGGGUAAAGGCUCACCUAGGCGACGAUCCCUAGCUGGUCUGAGAGGAUGACCAGCCACACUGGAACUGAGACACGGUCCAGACUCCUACGGGAGGCAGCAGUGGGGAAUAUUGCACAAUGGGCGCAAGCCUGAUGCAGCCAUGCCGCGUGUAUGAAGAAGGCCUUCGGGUUGUAAAGUACUUUCAGCGGGGAGGCGUUACCCGCAGAAGAAGCACCGGCUAACUCCGUGCCAGCAGCCGCGGUAAUUC